CAUGGCUCAGGACGAAACGCUGGCGGCGUGCCCUAAUACAUGCAAGUCGAGCGGACAGAUGGGAGCUUGCUCCCUGAUGUUAGCGGCGGACGGGUGAGUAAACACCGUGGGUAACCUGCCCUGUAAGACUGGGAUAACUCCGGGAAACCGGGGCUAAUACCGGAUGCUUGUUUGAACCGCAUGGUUCAAACAUAAAAGGUGGCUUCGGCUACCACUUACAGAUGGACCCGCGGCGCAUUAGCUAGUUGGUGAGGUAAUGGCUCACCAAGGCAACGAUGCGUAGCCGACCUGAGAGGGUGAUCGGCCACACUGGGACUGAGACACGGCCCAGACUCCUACGGGAGGCAGCAGUAGGGAAUCUUCCGCAAUGGACGAAAGUCUGACGGAGCAACGCCGCGUGAGUGAUGAAGGUUUUCGGAUCGUAAAGCUCUGUUGUUAGGGAAGAACAAGUGCCGUUCAAAUAGGGCGGCACCUUGACGGUACCUAACCAGAAAGCCACGGCUAACUACGUGCCAGCAGCCGCGGUAAUACGUAGGUGGCAAGCGUUGUCCGGAAUUAUUGGGCGUAAAGGGCUCGCAGGCGGUUUCUUAAGUCUGAUGUGAAAGCCCCCGGCUCAACCGGGGAGGGUCAUUGGAAACUGGGGAACUUGAGUGCAGAAGAGGAGAGUGGAAUUCCACGUGUAGCGGUGAAAUGCGUAGAGAUGUGGAGGAACACCAGUGGCGAAGGCGACUCUCUGGUCUGUAACUGACGCUGAGGAGCGAAAGCGUGGGGAGCGAACAGGAUUAGAUACCCUGGUAGUCCACGCCGUAAACGAUGAGUGCUAAGUGUUAGGGGGUUUCCGCCCCUUAGUGCUGCAGCUAACGCAUUAAGCACUCCGCCUGGGGAGUACGGUCGCAAGACUGAAACUCAAAGGAAUUGACGGGGGCCCGCACAAGCGGUGGAGCAUGUGGUUUAAUUCGAAGCAACGCGAAGAACCUUACCAGGUCUUGACAUCCUCUGACACCCCUAGAGAUAGGGCUUCCCCUUCGGGGGCAGAGUGACAGGUGGUGCAUGGUUGUCGUCAGCUCGUGUCGUGAGAUGUUGGGUUAAGUCCCGCAACGAGCGCAACCCUUGAUCUUAGUUGCCAGCAUUCAGUUGGGCACUCUAAGGUGACUGCCGGUGACAAACCGGAGGAAGGUGGGGAUGACGUCAAAUCAUCAUGCCCCUUAUGACCUGGGCUACACACGUGCUACAAUGGACAGAACAAAGGGCAGCGAGACC
rnacentral:rRNA from 1 species